GUUGCUCUUUUUGGGUGCUCGCUUCGUUGCGUGUGGGAAGGAGGCGUUUGGGAUCGGCGGCGUGCUCCCUUCUCUACUCCCUGUUGGGCAACGCAGGUCUGCAGAGGCGGCGGCCGGAGAGAUGUGAGGCGAGGGGUCAGGGGUGGAGGAGGCCAGGAGAGCGUGCCGGCGAGAAGGCGCUGCUGUGGUUGGCAGGUCUUCGCCUCAGCGGCGGAGUUGGGCCCCAGGGGGGCAGGGGCAGCACGAGCCGCGGUGCGGGUAGGGCUCCGUGGUGGGCGAGCAACAGCCGAGCGGGCUCGGACGGUUCUUCAGGCGGCACGGCGCCUCCCCGAGGACCCCGGCUCUUCGUAUCGCCGCGGCCGCUACGGCCCCACGAGCGUAGUGGGUUCCAACUGUCCGGGUAGCGCGAGUUGAAGCUCCUCUCCUACGGACAGUUCUUCGCCGGGAGCGGUCGCGUCUCGAGCCGCAGCUCCUCUCCAGGUAGCGGUGACUACUUAUAGCGCUCGCUCGCUCGGUCGCCGGCACGCACGCAGUCCUGUGCGAGCAUUCCUGGGGGCGGAGGAAGGAAGGAACACGAGCCGGUAUGGAUCGUCGUUCCUCCUCCUAGAUGAUGGGAUGCCUUCCCUUCCUUCUCCGGCGGCCGCUCGCUCCGUGCCGGUGCCGCAACCUGAGUGGCCCCUGCCGACGAGGAGGGCUCCAUUGGUUGGGGAGGCUAGGAGAAGAAGGGGGUUAAGAUAAACGUAGACGCACGCAUGCGUUGAAGUCAAGACAUGUAUGUAUAAGUCAAGUUUGACUUGGGGUUGGGGUUGGGCAACCGACUUCGAAGUCAAGACAUGUACGUAUAACUCAAGUUCGACUUGGGGUUGGGUUGGGCAACCGACUUCGUAAAUGUACGGAUACAUUUGGACCCUUUACCCUUACGAGGUUUUGGAUUUAAUUUAGUUUAGGUUUGACGUAUAUAUGGCGAACAGGCCGUUCACUUUAGGUGGUUUGGUUGGGUGAGGUUAGGUACUGGCUGUCAUGGUUGGGUUGGUAGAGUUUCAAAACCAAAACCUGAUGAUGAUGAUGACUUGGGUUAAAGGUUAGAAUUGGAUGGGUAGUCGGCGUGUAAUUCGAGACAUGGAUACAAGUCAAACUAGUUGGCUAAUCGUUUAGUCACUCCCGUCCAAGGUUAAAAAUGAUCUGCCCUUUCGUACGGUGCGGCAUUAAAACUAGCGAGAUGCCAACCUGCUGUUUGUACCUCCUUUGGGACGACUGCACGUACGCGAGGAGACGCGAACCACUGGAUAUGUAGACGAGGUAGCACUUGUACACGAAGCACAGUUUGUCCAUCGGCGGUUCCCACUCGAGCACGUCGCCAAAUCCAUAUCUACACGUAGGGUAUUCCCUUCGAUGUCAAAGAAAGUAUUUUGAUAAACAACAAUCACGUAACGUAUAACUUCAUUAGACCUACCCGAAUAGAACUCAAGAGGUAGUUCAAUAUAAUGAAACUGUCCUUUUUCACGUCUUUCUGGUAUAUUUCAUGAGACCACUCAGAGAGUUAACUUGAUCUAAAAAAAUCCACGCACUUUGUACGUGUUACUAAACGAGACAACUCACAUUCAACUUGAUCGUGAACUUAAUAUCGAGUACGGCCAUACGAUUAAAAGAGAAAGAGUAUAGUCGAGAGGAAAAACAGGUAAAAAUAAGUGAUGAUGGACUUCCUUUGACAUGACCUAUCGUCGUCAUCUUUGACAUGAUACCUUCCCUCCCACUCGCUAAGACCCUUUAAGGAACACCGGCACUUUCCGGUCCUACGGUAUGACUAACAUCACGUUACUCGCCCGUAAUAAAUCCGGUUCACAAAUUAUAAGUUAUAAAAUAGAAAGGUGUAGUGCCCUUACUCGAGCGCGUUUCGGCUCAUCGCUUAGGACCCUCACUCCAGUUUACGACCUACGUAUACCCAAAACAGUUGCUGUUACCGGUUUUCCGCCGUUUUCAUCUGUUUUUGAAGAAGUGAUAGUUUCUAUGAUGUAACAGGUCGUCUUUGAUCUCGUUGUCAGGUCGUCUUUUCCUUCGUCGGUCUCUUCUUCGUCGUCAUCCUUUUCUUUAUCAGGCUCCAAGUCACCGCGUAAGAGGUGACGAGACGUCGAAGAAGCGGUAAUAACUACCCACUCGUUCCGUUUAGGUGAUCGAUUCGAGAGAGAGAGAGAGAGAGAGAGUUUACUUUGAAUGGCCAAGGUAGUCUAUUCCACUUUACUCUGUGUUUAACUUUGCUGAUUUAAACUUGGUCCUUAAAGAACAUUAAAACUAGUAAAAAACACACGUAAGGUACGAGACAAAAGACGUGAAACCUCAACACUUUGUUCACACGCGAGGAACGACAAGUUCCUUUCUAGAGGAACAAAAACAGAUUCCUACAUGAAGUGAUGAUACAUCCGAAGAACGGCAGAAACAACCAAAAUUGUACGAACGGCAAAUAUCCCGUAGAACUUACACGUAUAUCUAGUCCGUAUAUCUAGUGCUUAUAGUCGAUUAACAGUUCUAAUGAAUUGACGUGGUACAGUUAAUAGACCUUUUGUUUUACAAUUAAAGGAAGUUCCACUUUAACGAACGUUUUAUGUCAACGUACGUUCUUAACGAGAAAUUAAACCUUCAGUAACCAUAGAAAAUCUUUCUUCUAGUUAAACAACUACCAUGUUCUUCCACACCAAAAAACAGCGAAUAUACGGCGACUUAUAAACUUUGCAACGGUAUAAACCAUGAACGACAAAACUCAGGAAUAAACAAGAACGAACGAAAGAUGAAGUAGAGAAUAAUACACUGUUGAAUUCGAAAAAUAAGUACACCUUAGACUUAUACUUAUGGUGUUGUCCACAUUCGAACUACUACAUACAUAGUCGUGGUGUCUUUUGAAAGACCUCAAAUGUAUUACUAUGAGGUUAAGUCCUCGAACGUAUGAGUAAUGUAAAAAACACCUCACAACUACUUUAAGCCGGUUUUGUAGACGGACAAUUAUAAAUCUUUUCUCCAAACUCCAAUAGGUCUAGAAGUUCAUUCAAUCAAGAGUUAGGAUACAGUCUGUAUAUUGUGUAACGAAGGAGCCUCAGCGAUCUUGACUUAACUUG
rnacentral:rRNA from 1 species